GGUUACACUAAUAAUACUAUAAAAAAUGUUUGGUUAUAGUUAAUAGAAAGGGUUGGAUUGAUAUUUAAUUUUAUUAAGUGAAAUUUUUAAUUUUGAAUAUAAAUUUAUAGAUAUUUUAUGAGGCUAGUAAAUUUAGAUAUAAAACUAGGAUUAGAUACCCUAUUAUUCUAAACAAGAUUAUUUUACCAGGUUAGUAGUAGAUAUGUUCUUGAAAAUUAAAGAAGAUGGCGGUAUUUUAGUCUAUUCAGAGGAACCUGUCCUAUAAUCGAUGGUCCACGAUUUUUAUUACUUAUUUUAUUAGUUUAUAUAUCGCCGUAGUUUGAAUAUUUUUAAAAAAAUUAAAUAUUCAAAAUUUUUUUAAGAAAAGAAUUCAGGUCAAGGUGUAGCUUAUAAAUAAGAAGAGGUGGGUUACAAUAGAUAUAUUUAUAUGAAUUAGUAAGUGAAAUUUAUUAUGAAAAUGGAUUUGAGGGUAAUAGUAUUUAAAUAUAUAAGAUGAUUUGAGUUCUAAAAUAUGUACAUAUCG
rnacentral:rRNA from 1 species